rnacentral:ncRNA from 1 species
UAAAUGGCAAUGACUGGGACUGUAGACCUAUAGACACUUAUUAAAGCGAUUCGAGGAUGGUGUAAGCUCGGAAUAAGAAUAGGUUUAGGAUCACCCACGAGCUUCAUGCUGAACACAAUUAGUUACUAAGCAUGACGUUAUUAAUGCGUUAAAUGAUUAUGAGAUAUGUAUUUUUUUUAAUGCAUGUAAAAAAAGGUGGUACCACGGUUCUCAUCGUCCUUUAU